UGGGGAAUAUUGCACAAUGGGGAAAGCCCUGAUGCAGCAACGCCGCGUGAAGGAAGACGGUUUUCGGAUUGUAAACUUCUGUUCUUAGUGAAGAAUAAUGACGGUAGCUAAGGAGCAAGCCACGGCUAACUACGUGCCAGCAGCCGCGGUAAUACGUAGGUGGCAAGCGUUGUCCGGAAUUACUGGGUGUAAAGGGAGCGCAGGCGGGAGACCAAGUCAGCUGUGAAAACUACGGGCUUAACCUGUAGACUGCAGUUGAAACUGGUUUUCUUGAGUGAAGUAGAGGUUGGCGGAAUUCCGAGUGUAGCGGUGAAAUGCGUAGAUAUUCGGAGGAACACCGGUGGCGAAGGCGGCCAACUGGGCUUUAACUGACGCUGAGGCUCGAAAGUGUGGGGAGCAAACAGGAUUAGAUACC
rnacentral:rRNA from 1 species